rnacentral:rRNA from 1 species
UUUGCCUACGGGACGCAGCAGUAGGGAAUAUUGCUUAAUGGGGGAAACCCUGAAGCAGCAACGCCGCGUGGAGGAUGAAGGUUUUAGGAUUGUAAACUCCUUUUGUUAGAGAAGAUUAUGACGGUAUCUAACGAAUAAGCACCGGCUAACUCCGUGCCAGCAGCCGCGGUAAUACGGAGGGUGCAAGCGUUACUCGGAAUCACUGGGCGUAAAGAGUGCGUAGGCGGGGGAAUAAGUCAGAUGUGAAAUCCUGUAGCUUAACUACAGAACUGCAUUUGAAACUGUUACUCCGG